rnacentral:rRNA from 1 species
AGAGUUUGAUCCUGGCUCAGAUUGAACGCUGGCGGCAUGCUUUACACAUGCAAGUCGAACGGUAACGCGGGGGCAACCCUGGCGACGAGUGGCGAACGGGUGAGUAAUACAUCGGAACAUGUCCUGGAGUGGGGGAUAGCUCGGCGAAAGCCGGAUUAAUACCGCAUACGCUCUGAGGAGGAAAGCGGGGGACUCGUAAGGGCCUCGCGCUGCAGGAGUGGCCGAUGUCGGAUUAGCUAGUUGGUGAGGUAAAGGCUCACCAAGGCGACGAUCCGUAGCUGGUCUGAGAGGAUGAUCAGCCACACUGGGACUGAGACACGGCCCAGACUCCUACGGGAGGCAGCAGUGGGGAAUUUUGGACAAUGGGGGCAACCCUGAUCCAGCCAUGCCGCGUGAGUGAAGAAGGCCUUCGGGUUGUAAAGCUCUUUCGGACGGAACGAAAUGGUUACAGUGAAUAACUGUGAUUGAUGACG